UACGAAGGGGGCUAGCGUUGCUCGGAAUCACUGGGCGUAAAGCGCACGUAGGCGGCUUUUUAAGUCAGGGGUGAAAUCCUGGAGCUUAACUCCAGAACUGCCUUUGAUACUGAAGAGCUAGAGUCCGGAAGAGGUGAGUGGAACUGCGAGUGUAGAGGUGAAAUUCGUAGAUAUUCGCAAGAACACCAGUGGCGAAGGCGGCUCACUGGUCCGGUACUGACGCUGAGGUGCGAAAGCGUGGGGAGCAAAGCAGG
rnacentral:rRNA from 1 species